ACCAACCCAGCACUUUGAUAGUGAGGCACUCCCCAGAGCAGGGAUUAUUAAUGGGUGUCCUGAAACAGUGUGUGUCUAUGUUUGAGAGCAGUGGGAAAUAUUUCUGAUGCUCUGUGGAUCUUACACAUAUGCUCUUAUAAAAUCAGUUCAGAUAAAUGUAAAGACUAAUAUAAAAGCAGCCUCCUUCCAGUCUACAAACACAGAGACUCUUAAGCAGUUUAAAAAGAAAAGCAGCACAAAACUGCUUGAAUAAAUAAUAAUAAAGCGAGUGCAUGGGAAUGGAAGAAGGGAUCUUGAAAUCCAGUGAAAUCUCCAGCUGAGGAUUUGAUGGCUCUGAAACUGCUGCAAAGCCUCGAGUGAUUGUGGCAAGCAAGAAAGAGGAAUGCUGUUUAUUCAGUGCUGGAAAACAGACUAUUUGCCAGACUGCAAAGAGUACCGAAAAGGUAUCGAGUCUCUGUUUGAAUUAACCACAAAAAUAACCUGCUGAAUGAAGAGCUUUUCCAUGGACCUCUGCUGCUCUCUAAUGGUGCCUUAAAGGAUUCUCAGCACAAAGUCUAUGUGUUCCUCCUGUAACCAAGUUUCGUAAAACUUUUAAUGCAAAACAAACAAAGGAAGCAUUCAUUAAGUCCUUCAGAUAUGUUACCUGAACAGAUAGCCCACAGGUCAGGUAGCUAUUGCUGUACCCAUGGCCAGGACAUUUGGGAUGUGGUGAGGAUGCUAAUAAAGGAGAGCUAAAA